CAGCCGCCGCGGGAAUACGUAGGUCCCGAGCGUUGUCCGGAAUUAUUGGGCGUAAAGCGCGCGCAGGCGGAUAGGUCAGUCUGUCUUAAAAGUUCGGGGCUUAACCCCGUGAUGGGAUGGAAACUGCCAAUCUAGAGUAUCGGAGAGGAAAGUGGAAUUCCUAGUGUAGCGGUGAAAUGCGUAGAUAUUAGGAAGAACACCAGUGGCGAAGGCGACUUUCUGGACGAAAACUGACGCUGAGGCGCGAAAGCCAGGGGAGCGAACGGGAUUAGAUACCCGUGUAGUCCCUGUCUCUUAUACC
rnacentral:rRNA from 1 species